AAGUCGUAACAAGGUUUCCGUAGGUGAACCUGCGGAAGGAUCAUUAAUGAAUUUUUAAAGGGGAAUUGAUGCUGGUCUGUUAAAGGACAUGUGCUCGUUCUCUCUUAAUCCUUUCUUAACACACCUGUGCACUUGUUAACGAUUAUCAGAGUCAGUUUGAGGAGCAAUCCUUGACCCCUCUGCUUAAUUUUGACCACACACUCCUUAUUAUUUUCUUAUGAAUGUUUAUCAAGUCGAAAGGCUUUUAAAUUAUAAUACAACUUUUAACAACGGAUCUCUUGGCUCUC
rnacentral:misc_RNA from 1 species